AGCCAUUCAAAGGCACCUUCGGAGCAGAGAUUAAUGAAAGAGAAUUCUCAGGAAGUAACAUAAUACAGAAUCUCUUCCUCUCCCCCACCCACUUCUCCUUUGGGGAGCUCCAGAUUUAGCUUGGGACAAGAUUUAUGAUUCUGAAAGUGUGAUGAAAGGCAAACCAUGGUCUACAAUACUGUUACAGUGUGAGGGUCUCACCUCUGGACAUAUGGUUUGACAAUUCCUGACCCAAUUCUGAUGCUCCCUGUGUGUUUCAGAGGGCAAAUAUAUUGCAAUGAUGAGUGAGAAGGUAGAUAAGCAGUGUCACAGCUACAGAGGAAACCAAUACUCUAACCUUAACGAUCCCCAAUUUGACUAGUGUUUGGUGCUCUAUUGGUGCCAAUCUCAAUUCAUCAACUUUCAAAUGCCAGCCACACCUUCUUGACACUCAUUAAAUAUCCUUUGCCCAUCAGAGUUGAUCAUGGCUCUCCUAAGAGCCAGCACAGAGUCACUGCUUAAGAACAAACAUGAAAAACAGGUCUCAUUUGUCAGUCUGCACUUAGAGACAGCUUAGAGUUUUCAUGGAACUGCAGAACUGUAAAAAUCUUUCUAAAUUCUGUAGUUGGGGUACCUAGACACUCCAGGACUUGCUCUUUGAAGAAGUGGGAUGAUGAUGUAGGAAUGGGAGGUUCCAAAUUUUCGUAUCUGAAUAUUGCCUGACUGCUGGCCAAAUAGCAGAUAGCCUGGGUCGGUUGUUUUCUAAGGAACAAUGAAGACUAUCAACUCUCAGACACUUCUUAGCAUUUAACCGCGUGUUUACUGUGAUCCAGUCUAAAGGAGGCUUCCUUUGGGACAACCCAAAAGAGCGAUUCUUCCAAAAUGAUGGUGUGGAGAAAUUCCUAUGGAACACUUGGCUCUCCUUGAGUAGAAUUGGGCCGUUUGCCAACUCAGCUUCAGCCAGCACAGCCAACACUGAAACUCACCACACGCUUCCUGGAUCUGAUCUUUCCAAUAACAGGUAAAUGUGAUUAUUUACAGAGAUGCCCUCCCUUAGGGGGAAAAAAACAGCAAUUAUUUUCCUGACUAAAAAGAUCCUCCGGGUUUAUGAAGUUUCCUGGCUAUUUUUAAGAUUAUCAAGAUUAAUAUGAAACUUUCUGGAAAGCUUGCAAGAGUGAGGAAAAACUAAGAGGUAAAGUGUUAGAAGUUAAUUAAAGUUCAGUCUAAAAGGAGGAUAGAAUAUCUUUGACAAGAUAAUAUAAGCCAAUAAGAAAUUGGCUCAACUUCUACACAACCAUUCAGUAAGACAUUUAUUUUAUCAUGUGAGGCACACCUGUGCUGCGAACUAGCACCAACUCCACCUUGUCAUGAGGAAAACAAAAUCCUCUUCUACUGAUAGACACUACUUUAUUAUUUCCACAAGCCAGGAUGAACCCAGUUGAUGACCUGAAAGUAAGGCGUGUCGAUGGUCCACUCAGGAUUGGAGAGUUGUGAGGAAAAUAUGCCAUCACUCUAAAUAACCUACUCAGUGACACCGAAUCCUACAGAAAGACAAGACAUUUCCUGACACU
rnacentral:lncRNA from 1 species